rnacentral:misc_RNA from 1 species
GAUGAAGAACGUAGCGAAAUGCGAUAAGUAAUGUGAAUUGCAGAAUUCAGUGAAUCAUCGAAUCUUUGAACGCACAUUGCGCCCGCCAGUAUUCUGGCGGGCAUGCCUGUUCGAGCGUCAUUUCAACCAUCAAGCCCCCGGCUUGUGUUGGGGACCUGCGGCUGCCGCAGGCCCUGAAAACCAGUGGCGGGCUCGCUAGUCACUCCGAGCGUAGUAGUUACAUCUCGCUCAGGGCGUGCUGCGGGUUCCGGCCGUUAAAAGCCUUAUUUACCCAAGGUUGACCUCGGAUCAGGUAGGAAGACCCGCUGAACUUAAGCAUAUCAAUAGCGGAGGA